GAUGGACCGCAUUCACCGCCGCCGUCCCAUCCGGCGAGGGGCUCCUGUCCUGUCCCCCCGGCCCCAGUGAGGUCUCGUCCGCGCUGCAGGGACC